CCUCCCUCUUUCUUCGUGCUUAACACAUGCAAGUCGAACGGAAAGGCCCCAGCUUGCUGGGGUACUCGAGUGGCGAACGGGUGAGUAACACGUGGGUGAUCUGCCCUGCACUCUGGGAUAAGCCUGGGAAACUGGGUCUAAUACCGGAUAGGACCGUGCUUUAGUGUGUGCGGUGGAAAGUUUUUCGGUGCAGGAUGAGCCCGCGGCCUAUCAGCUUGUUGGUGGGGUAAUGGCCUACCAAGGCGGCGACGGGUAGCCGGCCUGAGAGGGUGUACGGCCACAUUGGGACUGAGACACGGCCCAGACUCCUACGGGAGGCAGCAGUGGGGAAUAUUGCACAAUGGGCGCAAGCCUGAUGCAGCGACGCCGCGUGGGGGAUGACGGCCUUCGGGUUGUAAACCCCUUUCGGCAGGGACGAAGCUUUUGUGACGGUACCUGCAUAAGAAGCACCGGCUAACUACGUG
rnacentral:rRNA from 1 species